rnacentral:sRNA from 1 species
CUCUUUCUUUCCCAAAAUCCCGCUAGCCGGUCUCUGCGCAAGCCGCUCCCGAUUCCCUCCACUCCCCCUCGCUCUCCUCUCAUCUCGGCCUCCGUCUCCAUCUUCAUCUUUGUUGGGUUCUCACUAAUUUCGCAAUUCCCAAUUCCUUUUUCAAAUUCCACUUCCACCCAUCCGCCGUCUCAACCCAAAUACGCUCUCCAACCCUGGUUCUUUUUAAGUCUUCCCUCUCCUUGGCGUCCUUUUCUCUCACCCUUCUUCGAUCUUCACUCUCUCUCUCACUCAAUUCUAAAAAUCUCUCUUUUUGCUCGUACUGCACAACUACCGUCCUCGUCGAUCUCCCUUCCGUCGCAAGCCUUUCCCGAAGACAACCGUCAGUAAUAAGGUAUUCAUGUGGAAAAAGUGGUAUGAGCCCCUUUUGAUGCAGAACUCAUAUAGUUCUCCCUACACUUAUGGUUUAUUGCUUUUGGGCUGCUCUCUUUGUACAACUCAAGGAAUGCAAUCACGUUAUUUUUUGAAAUAAGAGGAGGUCGCCUUCGACAAACAAAAGGAUAAAAAGAAGGAAAGAGAAGCCCACCAAUCUUCAGCAAUCAUAUUAUGCUACAGAAAAAACGAUGGGAUGUCAUUUCCAAGUUUUGGAUUAGAAACUUUGAUUAGUUAAGGUUCUGUGAAACUGAUGGGAGAACAAUGUUCGUGUCAAAUAGUGCUUGCGAAAAUUUUCCUAACCCUACUGUCUAUUUUCUUCAUUCCCAAAAUCACUUUUAUCAAAAGAUUUCCAUAUUUUUUAA